rnacentral:tRNA from 1 species
GGCGGUAUAGCUUAGUGGUAGAGUACAUGCUUAACAGGCAUGUGGUCCUGUGUUAAAUGCCCAGUACCUCUA